UGGGGAAUCUUGCGCAAUGGGCGAAAGCCUGACGCAGCCAUGCCGCGUGAGUGAUGAAGGCCUUAGGGUUGUAAAACUCUUUCACCGGGGACGAUAAUGACGGUACCCGGAGAAGAAGCCCCGGCUAACUUCGUGCCAGCAGCCGCGGUAAUACGAAGGGGGCUAGCGUUGCUCGGAAUUACUGGGCGUAAAGGGCGCGUAGGCGGAUCAGCAAGUUGGGGGUGAAAGCCCGGGGCUCAACCUCGGAAUUGCCUUCAAAACUGCUGAUCUAGAGUACGGGAGAGGUGUGUGGAACUCCGAGUGUAGAGGUGAAAUUCGUAGAUAUUCGGAAGAACACCAGUGGCGAAGGCGACACACUGGCCCGUUACUGACGCUGAGGCGCGAAAGCGUGGGGAGCAAACAGGAUUAGAUACCCUGGUAGUCCACGCUGUAACGAUGAUUGCUAGUUGUCGGCAGGCAUGCCUGUCGGUGACGCAGCUAACGCAUUAAGCAAUCCGCCUGGGGAGUACGGUCGCAAGAUUAAAACUUAAAUGAAUUGACGGGGUCAUAGCUGUUUCCU
rnacentral:rRNA from 1 species